rnacentral:lncRNA from 1 species
GUUUAUGUGUGCGUGCAUAUAAAUAAAUAAAUGAAUUUGAUUUACAACAUUUUUGACGAUGAAACCCAGAUCGACCAAGGUACAUCAUCAUCACCAGCCCUGCAGGGGCACGGGCCUUCCCUAUGGAUGGACAGGGAGAUCGGGCCUUAAACCACCACGCGGGCCCAGUGCGGAUUGGUGGUUAUUAACGACUGCUAAUGCAGCCGGGACCAACGGCUUAACGUGCCUUCCGAAGCACGGAGGAGCUCGAGAUGAAAUCUUUUUUUUUAUGGUCACCCAUCCUAAGACCGGCUUUUGCGAAAGUUGCUUACCGAGCGCGUUUACCGCUGCGCCACCGAGCUCCUCGUACAUAAUUAGACAUAAUUAUCAGGUACAUUAUUAUUCAAAAAUGUAAUGUAACGGCAGAGGCAUAUUUUUAUGUAAAGUGAGUGCGCAAUGCAACCAAAUUUAAAAUAGCAAUAUUGCUUUCUUAGAUGAAUUGCUUCGAUGUGGCCAUUUUAACCCCCCUAGAAAUGUGGAUAAAAGUUGUUCAG